GGGCGCAAGCCUGAUGCAGCCAUGCCGCGUGUAUGAAGAAGGCCUUCGGGUUGUAAAGCACUUUCAGCAGUGAGGAAAGUGGCGUCGUUAAUAGCUGCCUUAUUUGACGUUAGCUGCACAAGAAGCACCGGCUAACUCCGUGCCAGCAGCCGCGGUAAUAA
rnacentral:rRNA from 1 species